UACAGAGGGGGCAAGCGUUGUUCGGAAUUACUGGGCGUAAAGGGCGCGUAGGCGGCCCGCUAAGUCGAACGUGAAAUCCCCAGGCUCAACCUGGGAACUGCGUCCGAUACUGGCAGGCUUGAAUCCGGGAGAGGGAUGUGGAAUUCCAGGUGUGAGCGGUGAAAUGCGUAGAUAUCUGGAAGGAACACCGGUGGCGAAGGCGGGUUGCUGGGCCACACUGACGCUGAGGCGCGAAAGCCAGGGGAGCAA
rnacentral:rRNA from 1 species